GCAUCUUUCACUGGAAUAUUAGAUUAUUUUCCUGUGACUCUGCAACAAAAUCCAAGACUUGAUUCUAUCUUGGUGCCAAGCCAACAGGUUCCCUUUCAGAAAAUGAAGCUUUCAGUUUGUGUGUUUGAAGUGGCCUUCAAACUGCUGCAUGAAAAGCAAAUAAAGAGAAAAUGUGUACUACAAAGCAGUAUUGUGGAUUUUAGUCCUGUAAUCUUGUUGUACUCCAAAGCAACUCAUAGCCAUCAAAUCCGACUUCUUCGAAUAGAAAUACUGGGUGAUGUCUGAUGGAUGAUAUGGCAUAGCUGAAACAAGCUCGGAUUUGUGAGGUUAAUUAAGGCCAAUCUUGAAUUGAUUUUUCAAGGCAGUUCAAGCUCAUGUUCAAGCAGGAAGAUCUCUUUGCCUUCAGGUUGCUUCAAUUUGAACGAAGUAGUCAUUUUACAAACUUUUGUGUGUCAAGUAGAGCAUAUGUAGACGUUCUCUGAAAUGCUCUUGUUCCAGGUUGGUGAAAUUGAUCAACAGAUGGUUCUUGAAAGAACAGAUGGCUAGGCUAGAUCUAUGUUGUGCCAAACUAUUGUACGAUGUAAAUUCUUGAUAUUAAAAUCAAUUGCAGACUGCUAUGUGACGAAGUCUAGUUAUAAAUAUGGGAUCCCGGCGGUUUGAUAUAACAAACUAUGUGUAUGCACAACACGUGCGGAACUCGCGUCUUUUGGAGCAGUAUAGGCUCUAGGAAAUUUAAGUUUUGUAUUUUUGUUCUAAUCUUAGCCUAUUUACUAUGUUCUUUCAUAGUGUAUCUGCUCGCUUUAAAUAA